rnacentral:tRNA from 8 species
AGUCACGUGGUCUAAUGGUUAUGAUUUCUCGUUCACAUCAAUCUGACGCGCCGAGAAGGUUCCCGGUUCGAUCCCGGGCGUGACUA